rnacentral:rRNA from 1 species
UACGAGACUGUUCUCUUUGAGGCCGGUCAUCGGAAUGGGUACAAUUUAAACCCUUUAACGAGUAUCAAGCAGAGGGCAAGUCUGGUGCCAGCAGCCGCGGUAAUUCCAGCUCUGCUAAUACAUAGAAUUAUUGCUGCGGUUAAAAAGCUCGUAGUUGGAUUCGUAUCGGUACCCUGGAACCCUUCGGGUGUUUCUGGGUGUUAUCGAUUUAUCGUAAUGUUCGGUUUUGAGUCCUUAACAGGAUUCUUAACAGGCAUUGCAAGUUUACUUUGAACAAAUCAGAGUGCUUCAAACAGGCGUUUUCGCUUGAAUGAUCGUGCAUGGAAUAAUAGAAAAUGAUUUCGGUUCAGUUUUAUUGGUUUUACGGACUGAGAUAAUGGUUAACAGAGACAAACGGGGGCAUUUGUAUGGCCCCGUGAGAGGUGAAAUUCUUGGACCGUGGCCAGACAAACUACAGCGAAAGCAUUUGCCAAGAAUGUUUUUAUUAAUCAAGAACGAAAGUCAGAGGUUCGAAGGCGAUCAGAUACCGCCCUAGUUCUGACCGUAAACGAUGCCAACUAGCGAUCCGCCGAUGGAAAUUAUAUUGCCUUGGUGGGGAGCUUCCCGGAAACGAAAGUCUUCCGGUUCCGGGGGAAGUAUGGUUGCAAAGCUGAAACUUAAAGGAAUUGACGGAAGGGCACCACCAGGAGUGGAGCCUGCGG